UACAGAGGGUGCAAGCGUUAAUCGGAAUUACUGGGCGUAAAGCGCGCGUAGGUGGUUCGUUAAGUUGGAUGUGAAAUCCCCGGGCUCAACCUGGGAACUGCAUUCAAAACUGUCGAGCUAGAGUAUGGUAGAGGGUGGUGGAAUUUCCUGUGUAGCGGUGAAAUGCGUAGAUAUCAAGAGGAACACCUGAGGUGAAGACGGGUUGCUGGGCCGACACUGACGCUGAGUGCGCGAAAGCCAGGGGAGCAAACGGG
rnacentral:rRNA from 1 species